rnacentral:sRNA from 1 species
UGCAUCUGAAGUCUGACGAGGAUGAGAACCUCCGGGGGCAAGAGGUUCGACCCGAGCGAAGCGAGAAAACGUUGCGCCAGCAACGGCCCGCAGGGCGAGCCACCCUCUAUCACCGGCAG